UAAAAUGCUGUGAAGGAAAGAGUAAUAUAUUUUUGGCAUGUAAAGAGAGCUGGGGCAGGUGAAAGCCAGUCAUGCUGGGAUAUAUGAAGAUGGCUCCGGAGCAUAGUGAUUGAAAAUAAGUAAGUCACUGCGGGUGCAACCGUUAUAUUGCAGGGUGAUGAUAGUCACCUAGUGAGGUUUAUGUUGUGAGACAUAGACAAAAUAGGGUGGUAACGCGAUACCUCGCCCCUAUA
rnacentral:ncRNA from 1 species